rnacentral:rRNA from 1 species
GUGGGGAAUUUUGGACAAUGGGCGCAAGCCUGAUCCAGCAAUGCCGCGUGCAGGAAGAAGGCCUUCGGGUUGUAAACUGCUUUUGUACGGAACGAAACGGUCCGGGUUAAUACCCUGGGCUAAUGACGGUACCGUAAGAAUAAGCACCGGCUAACUACGUGCCAGCAGCCGCGGUAAUACGUAGGGUGCGCGCGUUAAUCGGAAUUACUGGGCGUAAAGCGUGCGCAGGCGGUUUUGUAAGAUCGAUGUGAAAUCCCCGGGCUCAACCUGGGAACUGCAUUGGUGACUGCAAGGCUGGAGUGCGGCAGAGGGGGAUGGAAUUCCGCGUGUAGCAGUGAAAUGCGUAGAUAUGCGGAGGAACACCGAUGGCGAAGGCAAUCCCCUGGGCCUGCACUGACGCUCAUGCACAAAAGCGUGGGGAGCAAACAGGAUUAGAUACCCUGGUAGUCC